GAUGAACGCUGGCGGCGUGCCUAAUACAUGCCAGUCGAGCGAACAGACGAGGAUCUUGCUCCUCUGACGUUAGCGGCGGACGUGUGAGUAACACGUGGAUAACCUACCUAUAAGACUGGGAUAACUUCGGGAAACCGGAGCUAAUACCGGAUCAUAUAUUGAACCGCAUGGUUCAAUAGUGAAAGACGGUUUUGCUGUCACUUAUAGAUGGAUCCGCGCCGGAUUAGCUAGUUGGUAAGGUAACGGCUUACCAAGGCAACGAUGCGUAGCCGACCUGAGAGGGUGAACGGCCCCACUGGAACUGAGACACGGUCCAGACUCCUACGGGAGGCAGCAGUAGGGAAGCGUCCGAAAUGGGGGAAAGCCUGACGGAGCAACGCCGGGUGAGUGAAGAAGGGCUUCGGAUCGGAAAACGCUGUUAGUAGGGAAGAACAAAUGUGUAAGUAACUAUGCACGUCUUGACGGUACCUAAUCAGAAAGCCACGGCUAACUACGUG
rnacentral:rRNA from 1 species